CUACUUUGGCUUCCGGUAGAGUUUUGCUAUAUGGUUUUGAAUACAUGAUGUUAAAUAAAAUAUUUAAGUUAUGUUCAUAUAUUUUUUUGUUUUUGUUUUAGUUACGUGUUAUACUGUCAAACUUUAUCAAGUGUUUGUACCAGCAAUGCCAUAGAUGGCGGUCAGUGAGAGACAACGACGUUCAAAACGGUCAUUACAUUAGCAGGUACAGCAGAUAUCUCCCAACUCACCACUUCGAUGUUGGAGAAUCCGGUAAGGACGAGGUUUUUGAGAAGCUCACAACCGAUUCCUCCGGCUCCUACCACCAGAACCCGACAGGAGGAGACUGUCUCGGCUAGCUCUUUAUGGAGGGAUCCCACCAGCGCCAUCAUGGAGCGGCAAAGACAGCAACAAUACCGAGACGGACUGACAAGGGCCAUCAAAAACAAGAAGAUAACGAACAGCGCCGAGCGGGAGCUGCUAGUCCUACAUCUCCAUCUGUGGGCUUGGAGGACUCUGCCAUCAUUAAAUAAUGACCGGGGUUCUUGUUUAAUUGUAAAAUAGGGAGAAAUAAAAAGUUACGUGUUUU